UAGGGAAUCUUCCGCAAUGGGCGAAAGCCUGACGGAGCAACGCCGCGUGAGUGAUGAAGGUCUUCGGAUCGUAAAACUCUGUUAUUAGGGAAGAACAAAUGUGUAAGUAACUAUGCACGUCUUGACGGUACCUAAUCAGAAAGCCACGGCUAACUACGUGCCAGCAGCCGCGGUAAUACGUAGGUGGCAAGCGUUAUCCGGAAUUAUUGGGCGUAAAGCGCGCGUAGGCGGUUUUUUAAGUCCGAUGUGAAAGCCCACGGCUCAACCGUGGAGGGUCAUUGGAAACUGGAAAACUUGAGUGCAGAAGAGGAAAGUGGAAUUCCAUGUGUAGCGGUGAAAUGCGCAGAGAUAUGGAGGAACACCAGUGGCGAAGGCGACUUUCUGGUCUGUAACUGACGCUGAUGUGCGAAAGCGUGGGGAUCAAACAGG
rnacentral:rRNA from 1 species